ACAGACGGAAAUGGCGGAUCCGAACUACUUUCGAUUUGUGCAUGUUGCCUGGGCAAUUAUAAUAGGGUCAGGAUUAGCAGUAUUAACUGUUUUAUGGAACCAUAGCGAUUCAUGUAGCAGAGGCUCUGUACUCCAUCAAAGUAUGCGGAGAUAAACACCUGAGCACCUCUGCGACCAUUAAGUGGUGCCUACAGACUUUUGUCUUUGGAUUUGCUUCCUUCCUUCGUUUGAACAAAGUCAAAAAUGUCAAAUCCAACUGAUGCCUUCUGGGAAAAGUUCACUCCUUGGAGGAGUUCACUGCUGCAGUACAAUCAAUUCUAGACCUAAACCUGUUUACUGUCAAAUCAGGACCAAAUCAGGACCAGCGGUCUGCAGCAGACGACCAUCUAGCAGACCAAAUUAAUUUAUCUUAGACUAAUUGCUUUAUGAUUGGUUGGCUUGAAAAUUCAAAUUGAUUGUCUCCAAUAUUGAAUUGGAUUGCAUGGAUACAUUGGCAUGUAUUCUGCUUUAAUUUAUGGCCAAAUUUUUUAUAAUAUGUUCUCUUAAUGAAACAUCAUGUAUUACACCCUAAUCUGAUGAAAAAAAUUCCAAUCAAGUACCUCAUAUUUUGUACAUAACAUAUGGAGCAUCAAUUCAUCUAUGUUUAAGAGAGUGUAAACCGAAUGUUUUGAUUAUUUUACAAAUAUUGAUGAAUGGUUGUUUAGAAGAAUAUAUGUCGCUAAGGUGAAAUGUAAUUACCGGUACUUGUAUCUAAUAUGAUAAAUUGUUAAUUUUAUAC
rnacentral:misc_RNA from 1 species